GACGAACGCUGGCGGCGUGCUUAACACAUGCAAGUCGAACGGAAAGGCCCUGCUUUUGUGGGGUGCUCGAGUGGCGAACGGGUGAGUAACACGUGAGUAACCUGCCCUUGACUUUGGGAUAACUUCAGGAAACUGGGGCUAAUACCGGAUAGGAGCUCCUGCUGCAUGGUGGGGGUUGGAAAGUUUCGGCGGUUGGGGAUGGAUUAGCGGCUUAUCAGCUUGUUGGUGGGGUAGUGGCUUACCAAGGCUUUGACGGGUAGCCGGCCUGAGAGGGUGACCGGCCACAUUGGGACUGAGAUACGGCCCAGACUCCUACGGGAGGCAGCAGUGGGGAAUAUUGCACAAUGGGCGGAAGCCUGAUGCAGCAACGCCGCGUGCGGGAUGACGGCCUUCGGGUUGUAAACCGCUUUCGCCUGUGACGAAGCGUGAGUGACGGUAAUGGGUAAAGAAGCACCGGCUAACUACGUG
rnacentral:rRNA from 1 species